rnacentral:rRNA from 1 species
AGAUUGAACGCUGGCGGCAUGCCUAACACAUGCAAGUCGAACGGGAGUAGCAAUACUCUAGUGGCGGACGGGUGAGGAAUACGUAGGAAUUUGCCCUUAAGUGGGGGAUAACCCGGGAAACCCGGAUUAAUACCGCAUGACCUCGAAAGAGCAAAGUGGGGGAUCGCAAGACCUCACGCUUUUGGAGAAGCCUACGUCGGAUUAGCUAGUUGGUGAGGUAAUGGCUCACCAAGGCGACGAUCCGUAACUGGUCUGAGAGGAUGAUCAGUCACACCGGAACUGAGACACGGUCCGGACUCCGUACGGAGGCAGCAGUGGGGAAUAUUGGACAAUGGGCGCAAGCCUGAUCCAGCAAUGCCGCGUGUGUGAAGAAGGCCGUUCGGUUAGUAAGAUAACGUUUAAGGUUAGGGUAAAGAAAAACUACGUACUACUAAC